GAAUCUGAUAAGCAAAAGCAAAGUUUGGAGAAGUUCCCAAGCGCUACUAAUCCGGAUAUUGUGGAACAGAGUCUGAAUAGUUUGGCUGAGAAGGCGAACAAAGAGAUGGCCUCGACAGUGAAUAGCUCAGCUGAGAAGAUGAAGAACGAGAUGGCCAUGACAGUAAAUAGCUCCACUGAGGAGAUGAAAAGAGAGACAACUACAAUAAAGAGCUCAGCGGAGAAGAUGAACAAAGAGACAGCCUUGAAAAUAAAUAACUCAGCUGAGAAGAUGAAGAAAGAAACAUCAUUAAAUAGCUCAGCUGAGAAGAUGAGACAAGAGACAGCUACAGAAAAUGGUUCAGCUGAAAAGAUGAAGAAAGAGACAGCCUUGACAGUAAAUAUCUCAGCUGAAAAGAUGAACAAAGAGACAGCCUUGACAAUAAAUAACUCAGCUGAGAAGAUGAAGAAAGAGAUGGCCAGGACAGUGAAUAGCUCAGCUGAGAAGAUGAGACAAGAGACAGCUACAGUUAAUGGCUCGGCUGAGAAGAUGAAGAAAGAGACGGCCUUGACAGUAAAGAGCUCGAACGAGAAGGUGAAGAAAGAAACAGCCUUGACAGUAAAUAACUCAGCUGAGAAGGUUAAGAAAGAGAUCGCUUCACAAGUGAAUGGCUCAGCUGAGAAGAUGAAAAAAGAGACCACUGUGGCAGUUUUGAAAUCACCUGACAUUGAAACUAUGCCGGGGCAAUUAGGGAUGAAUGAGACAUCAGGUUUAUUUCAUGCAGAUCCUUCUGUUGUUGAUUCAAAGCCUUCGAUAGAUAGUAUUGU
rnacentral:lncRNA from 1 species